UACGUAGGGUGCAAGCGUUGUCCGGAAUUAUUGGGCGUAAAGAGCUCGUAGGCGGUUUGUCGCGUCUGCUGUGAAACCCGAGGCUCAACCUCGGGCCUGCAGUGGGUACGGGCAGACUAGAGUGCGGUAGGGGAGAUUGGAAUUCCUGGUGUAGCGGUGGAAUGCGCAGAUAUCAGGAGGAACACCGAUGGCGAAGGCAGAUCUCUGGGCCGUAACUGACGCUGAGGAGCGAAAGCGUGGGAGCGAACAGG
rnacentral:rRNA from 1 species